UAAUACGUAGGGGGCAAGCGUUGUCCGGAUUUAUUGGGCGUAAAGAGCGUGUAGGCGGCCAGGUAGGUCCGUUGUGAAAACUCGAGGCUCAACCUCGAGACGUCGAUGGAAACCAUCUGGCUAGAGUCCGGAAGAGGAGAGUGGAAUUCCUGGUGUAGCGGUGAAAUGCGCAGAUAUCAGGAAGAACACCUAUGGCGAAGGCAGCUCUCUGGGACGGUACUGACGCUGAGACGCGAAAGCGUGGGGAGCGAACAGGA
rnacentral:rRNA from 1 species